UACAGAGGUCCCAAGCGUUGUUCGGAUUCACUGGGCGUAAAGGGCGCGUAGGCGGCCUUCUAAGUCGAACGUGAAAUCCCCGGGCUCAACCCGGGAACUGCGUCCGAUACUGGAAGGCUUGAAUCCGGGAGAGGGGUGCGGAAUUCCAGGUGUAGCGGUGAAAUGCGUAGAUAUCUGGAGGAACACCGGUGGCGAAGGCGGCAUCCUGGACCGGCAUUGACGCUGAGGCGCGAAAGCCAGGGGAGCAAACGGG
rnacentral:rRNA from 1 species